rnacentral:rRNA from 1 species
UACGUAGGGGGCAAGCGUUGUCCGGAAUCAUUGGGCGUAAAGCGCGUGUAGGCGGCUCGAUAAGUCUGCUGUGAAAGUCCAGGGCUCAACCCUGGGAUGCCGGUGGAUACUGUCGAGCUCGAGUCCGGAAGAGGCGAGUGGAAUUCCUGGUGUAGCGGUGAAAUGCGCAGAUAUCAGGAGGAACACCUAUUGCGAAGGCAGCUCGCUGGGACGUAACUGACGCUGAGACGCGAAAGCGUGGGGAGCAAACAGG